rnacentral:misc_RNA from 1 species
GAAUGAUCUCUUUCUUCCAUUCCGAUUUCAAUUGACUUAUCCACUCCUUGAUAACAAACACAAGGAGGGUUACCUCUGUUAGUUUACAUUCAUGAUGUAAAUAUCUCAUAUGUAUCAAUUACGGACACUUGAGCAGUUGUAUUUAUCAAAAGAAAUAUUCACAUUCAUAGUCAAAAUUCAUUUCUAAACUAUGCUUUGAUAUUAUUAAAACUUGUUACACUUUACCUCUUCGUAAGGCAUAACAUGAUUCCGUAGCAUACUUAAUGAAUUACCGAACUUCACCUAUUGAUAACUCAUUAAAUACACUACA